rnacentral:tRNA from 1 species
GGAGGCGUGGCAGAGUGGUCGAAUGCAUCGGUCUUGAAAACCGAAGUCCCUUUACGGGGACCGGGGGUUCGAAUCCCUCCGCCUCCGCCA